rnacentral:rRNA from 1 species
AUCAACGCUGGCGGCGUGCCUAACACAUGCAAGUCGAACGCGAGAGUCCCGCAAGGGACAAUUGAGUGGCAAACGGGUGAGUAACACGUGGGUGACCUGCCUUCGAGUGGGGAUAACGUCCCGAAGGGACGCUAAUACCGCAUGACAUCCUGCCUUUGGACAGGUGGAGAUCAAAGCCGGGGAUCGCAAGACCUGGCGCUUGAAGAGGGGCCCGCGUCUGAUUAGCAGUUGGUGAGGUAACGGCUCACCAAGGCGACGAUCAGUAUCCGGCCUGAGAGGGCGGACGGACACACUGGGACUGAGACACGGCCCAGACUCCUACGGGAGGCAGCAGUGGGGAAUUGUUCGCAAUGGGCGCAAGCCUGACGACGCAACGCCGCGUGGAGGACGAAGAUCUUCGGGUCGU